AUGAAAAUCGAGUUCAAAAUGAGCUUUAAACCUUCAAAUAAAACUCAGGCAGCAACUAUGCACAUUAAACAAAGCUUUAAAAAUUCAAUCUCAAACAUGGUUAGCGCAAAAGGAAAUAACACAGUAAUGCCACCUACAUUAACUCUUGAAUUCAAACUCGAAUUGUCACCAAAAUACUAUUCAAAUCUUCUUUAA